rnacentral:rRNA from 1 species
UAGAGUUUGAUCCUGGCUCAGGAUGAACGCUGGCGGCGUGCCUAAUACAUGCAAGUCGAGCGAACGGACGAGAAGCUUGCUUCUCUGAUGUUAGCGGCGGACGGGUGAGUAACACGUGGAUAACCUACCUAUAAGACUGGGAUAACUUCGGGAAACCGGAGCUAAUACCGGAUAAUAUUUUGAACCGCAUGGUUCAAAAGUGAAAGACGGUCUUGCUGUCACUUAUAGAUGGAUCCGCGCUGCAUUAGCUAGUUGGUAAGGUAACGGCUUACCAAGGCAACGAUGCAUAGCCGACCUGAGAGGGUGAUCGGCCACACUGGAACUGAGACACGGUCCAGACUCCUACGGGAGGCAGCAGUAGGGAAUCUUCCGCAAUGGGCGAAAGCCUGACGGAGCAACGCCGCGUGAGUGAUGAAGGUCUUCGGAUCGUAAAACUCUGUUAUUAGGGAAGAACAUAUGUGUAAGUAACUGUGCACUGCUUGACGGUACCUAAUCAGAAAGCCACGGCUAANAACGU